CUUGACGGUCUGUCUGUCUGUGUCGUAUGCAGAUCCUGUGGAAGGUUGGCUGAUCUCCUCCAGUGGGCUUUAAAUUAGGCUCGUAGGGGGAAGGGGAGGAUGAGGACAGAGGGAGCCAUGGAACGCCGAACCAAGAGCCCCCCACAAGAACAGCCCAGCCAAGACAGAUGACGAGCAUAGGAAGUACCCAGGACAGACUUCAGGGGUGGUGCCCCCAGAGAGAAUAAAAGGAGCCGCAUGCCCAGCAUGCAGCAGAUGCAUCGAGGGACAGAGAAGCAAGCAGGGCUAAGAAGAGCUGAGGAGAGCUGCCCAGCAGGUGUUUCCAGUUGCCCCGAAGCAGCCCCGAAGAUUCCCUUCACCAGAGAGGCUCGGUGAUCAGCACUGGCUCCAGACAAUGCACGGGUCGGUGCACAGACCCCAGGCCCUGGGAGCUGCUUGAGGCAGCUCGGGUCUGCAGACACUGACAAGCAGCCAGGAGCUCAGGCCGUGGGAGCUGUGAGAUGGCUCGGGCCUCAGGCCUCCAACCCCUGGCAUGCAGCCAGAGCCUGAUGCAGGCAGUUCUGCACAGCAGGUCUGAAGUGGGGACCAAGACCCUGGGAGCUGUUUGAGGUAACUCCUGGCACGUGGCCAGGAUCUCACACAAGCAGUGCACAGCUAGUCUCCACAUGGAGGACUGAGUCCCAGUUCACUUAAGGCAGCCUGAGCCUCUGACCCUGGACAAAAGGCCAAGCCUUUGG